AUAAAGGGGCAUGUGAAAGCCUCGUUGAGCAGACACUCCUCAUUGAUCAGACCUCAGCUGGCAGACGGCCGUCAGUUCAGAACAGUGUGAAGAAGAAAGAAAAUAAAAAAGCCAAGAUGUGUUGCUCCGGCCUUCUCAAAAUGAUGAUGUUUAUCUUCAAUGGCUGCAUCUUCUUGGCAGGUGCAGCCAUCCUGGGUGUGGGAGUGUGGCUGAAGGUGGACAGUGGUUCUUUACUGGGUAUACUGGAUAAUGUGGACAAUGCACCAUCUGGGAUAUCCCAGCUAAUCAACGUCACCUACCUGCUCAUGGCAGUGGGUGGUGUGCUGCUGGUCAUUGGCUUCCUGGGCUGCUGUGGAGCUAUCAAGGAGAGCAAGUGCAUGCUGCUGACGUUCUUCAGUAUUGUGCUGAUCAUCUUCCUCAUCGAGGUCGCAGGAGCUAUUGUGCUGUUCGUCUUCCAGGGUUUGGCUGAUGAACUUCUCUCUGAUCUGGAGCAUGAAGUUAUAUUGAGCAUUAAAAAAGACUAUGGAAGCAGUGAACCUUUAACCUCUAUCUGGAACGGCACCAUGGAUGAGUUUAAGUGCUGUGGAUACAGGAACUACACAGACUUUGACAAUUCCCCUUUUUACAAUGAGGGUAACGGAAAGUUUUAUCCGACCACAUGUUGCAAUGCAACCCUCAUCACCUCGGAUGAAUGUGCUGCAGAGAUUGCAGAAGUUUCGAUGAUUGACGGCUGCUACUUCAAGCUGCUGCAGCUGAUAGAGGACAAUGCUGUGAUCGUUGCAGCUGUGGCUCUUGGAAUUGCUGCUAUUGAGAUUGCUGCCAUGGUGGUUUCGAUGAUUCUCUACAAGAACAUUAAGUGAUGUGUCCCGUCAGAGAUGAGAUGACAAUAUUGUGAUUGGUGGAGAAAUUUUACUUGGUAAGGGCUGUUGUCAGAUGAUAUUCUAUGUGCUGAAACAUAUGGCUGGUAAUGUGUAAUGAUGCACAGAGCAGAGAAGGAUCUUCGCAAGUUGUGUCAGUUGUUUCUGUCCCACACAUUCACUGCAAUAAUAUGAUAAAUUUAUUUUUGUAUGUUUGAUCAUAUAUAAAUAAUAAAUGUCACAAUCUUGACUUUUA